UCCCUGGUGGUCUAGUGGCUAAGAUGCCAUGCUUCCAGCUCAGGGGGCCCAGGUUCAAUCCCUGGCCAGGGAA
rfam:TPA: Bos taurus chromosome 16, whole genome shotgun sequence.